rnacentral:rRNA from 1 species
GACGAACGCUGGCGGCGUGCUUAACACAUGCAAGUCGAACGGUGAAGCGCCUUCCUUUUUGGUGGGUGUGGAUGAGUGGCGAACGGGUGAGUAACACGUGAGUAACCUGCCCCCUUCUUCUGGAUAACCGCAUGAAAGUGUGGCUAAUACGGGAUAUUCUGGGUCUGUCGCAUGAUGGGUCUGGGAUAGAUAUUGUUUCGGUGGGGGAUGGGCUCGCGGCCUAUCAGCUUGUUGGUGGGGUGAUGGCCUACCAAGGCGGUGACGGGUAGCCGGCCUGAGAGGGUGGACGGUCACACUGGGACUGAGGCACGGCGCAGACUCCUACGGGAGGCAGCAGUGGGGAAUAUUGCACAAUGGGCGCAAGCCUGAUGCAGCGACGCCGCGUGAGGGAUGGAGGCCUGCGGGUUGUGAACCUCUUUCGCCAGUGAAGCAGGCCUGCCUCGUUUGUGGGUGGGUUGACGGUAGCUGGAGAAGAAGCGCCGGCUAACUACGUG